AUACCAAUGGAAUGCAUAAAAUCAUCCCAUAACGGUCACAUCUGCUUCCAUCCAAAAUCAUCACUCCUUUUUUCAUCUUCAGAAAACGCGGUAAGUACUGCACCCGAAAGUUAAAAAUUAAAAAGUGACAUGUAAAUGUACACGUAACCAAAAUUAUAUAAUUCGCGUUGGCUAA
rnacentral:sRNA from 1 species